GUGAGAAGGACCAGGCUUCUCAUGGCAAACACAGCAUUUGCUCAGUCAUUUCAAAUCACUGCAGACCUGCAGAAUUCUCCAUCAUCUUGUCACCUUGCAGGACUUGCUGUGAAUGAAGGAAAGCCUGGACCCCAGCGGAUCAGUAAGGUUGUCCUCAUUUCCUCUACAGGAUUUUCUGAGACUUUUCUUCUCAGCAAGCAUUACUCGUGAGACUAAAAAGCUCUUUUCUGCCCUACUAAUUCAUCCAUGUUCAAAGCUUGCAAAGGUAAAAGUACUGACUCGA
rnacentral:lncRNA from 1 species